rnacentral:rRNA from 1 species
UACGUAGGAUGCGAGCGUUGUCCGGAAUCACUGGGCGUAAAGCGCGCGUAGGCGGCGCCCCGCGUCGGCGGUGAAAGCCCCCGGCUCACCCGGGGGAGGGCCGCCGAGACGGGGGGGCUGAGAGGGCGGUAGGGGCUGGCGGAACACCCGGAGUAGCGGUGAAAUGCGUUGAGAUCGGGUAGAACACCGGUGGCGAAGGCGGCCAGCUGGGCCGACCCUGACGCUGAGGCGCGAAAGCCAGGGGAGCGAACGGA